UUUAAAAAAAUUUCGGCCCAUCCUCAUUAUAGGGCUUUGAGCCCAAGCCUAACCCUAAUCAUACAUACAUAUACAUACACACACAAAACACAUAACACACGCACACACACAGCACGCCUCACUCUCCCUCUCUCUCCCUCUCGGUCUGCCUCCCUCUCCCUCGCCGGACGACAGCGGCGCCGUCAGCAGCGAGCGCCGCUUCGCCGGCCGCUUCUCUUCCCUUCCCCUAUUCUCUCUUUCCCCUUUGGUUCUUCCCUUUUCGUCCGUCUCUAUCUCUCGGAAACAACCACACGCCGCCUCUGCCUCCUUCGCGUGCCACUGCCGCCUCCGCCGUGGCCAAGCACGGCGCCGCCUGGUCGUCCCCGGCCUUGGAACAGGGUGGCAGAGGCCUCUCCGCCGCUGCAUGUGCCUUCUCCGGCCGUUGUGAAAAGCCGAGCGUCGCCGCGCCGCUUCCCCUGUUCUCCGCCGUCUCCGCCAUGGCCGGAAUCGUGGUGGAUGGCCGAGCUUUGUCUCGCCGGAAAGAACCGCCGUUCGUGUCGCUGCGCCGCUGCUUCCGCCGCGUCGUCGGAAAAGAUAAGUCUCUCCCCCUUUUUCCCGUAUCUCUCUCUCUUUUUUUUAUUUUUACAGAAGCCCUAACCAUCUCUCUCUCGUUUCAGAUAGACAAAGGAAAAAGGCGGCGGCUGCCGCCGCGCCGCCUCCGGCCGCGAGCAGCCGUCGGCUGCUCUCACCCCCCCCCAAAUUCCAGUCACACGCACAAAACACACAUAGAGCACUUAGGGUUUCAAUUCUGUUCAUUUUCAUUCAUUUCUAUUUACAAAAACUGAUCUGUACUUGUAAUAGAUAGAAAUAUAGUAAAAUGUGUGCGUGUGUAUUAUUCUGUUGGUGGUUCUCUGAUGGUGAUAAGCUAAUGUAAUUGAAACAAUAAUAGUCUAAAAGAAGUGGUAAUGGAUGCGUGUGUUCUAUCUGUUUUCAUUUGAA